rnacentral:rRNA from 1 species
CGACUCUCGACAACGGAUAUCUAGGCUCUCGCAUCGAUGAAGAACGUAGCAAAAUGCGAUACUUGGUGUGAAUUGCAGAAUCCCGUGAAUCAUCGAGUUUUUGAACGCAAGUUGCGCCCGAAGUCAUUAGGCCGAGGGCACGUCUGCCUGGGUGGCACGU